AGUGAACGCUGGCGGCAGGCCUAAUACAUGCAAGUCGAACGGCAGCACAGCAGAGCUUGCUCUGUGGGUGGCGAGUGGCGGACGGGUGAGGAAUACAUGGGAAUCUGCCCAGUCGUGGGGGAUAACGUAUGGAAACGUACGCUAAUACCGCAUGCGCCCUACGGGGGAAAUCGGGGACCGCAAGGCCUGGCGCGAUUGGAUGAGCCCAUGUUCGAUUAGCUAGUUGGCGGGGUAAAGGCCCACCAAGGCGACGAUCGAUAGCUGGUCUGAGAGGAUGAUCAGCCACACUGGAACUGAGACACGGUCCAGACUCCUACGGGAGGCAGCAGUAGGGAAUAUUGGACAAUGGGGGCAACCCUGAUCCAGCCAUGCCGCGUGAGUGAAGAAGGCCCUCGGGUUGUAAAGCUCUUUUGUCCGGAAAGAAAAGCAAUCGGUUAAUACCCGGUUGUUCUGACGGUACCGGAAGAAUAAGCACCGGCUAACUUCGUGCCAGC
rnacentral:rRNA from 1 species